rnacentral:rRNA from 1 species
UAAAACGAGGGGCCACCGCAUGGUGAUUAUUUGUUAAAGAAAUUCGCUGAUAGAUGGGCAUGCGUUCCAUUAGGUAGUUGGUGAGGUAACGGCUCACCAAGCCGACGAUGGAUAGGGGAACUGAGAGGUUGGUCCCCCACACUGGUACUGAGACACGGACCAGACUCCUACGGGAGGCAGCAGUGAGGAAUAUUGGUCAAUGGGCGAGAGCCUGAACCAGCCAAGUCGCGUGAAGGAAGAAGGAUCUAUGGUUCGUAAACUUCUUUUGCAGGGGAAUAAAGUGCAGGACGUGUCCUGUUUGUAUGUACCCUGAGAAUAAGGAUCGGCUAACUCCGUG